GACGAACGCUGGCGGCGUGCCUAACACAUGCAAGUCGAGCGAGUGAAUCUCCUUCGGGAGUGAAGCUAGCGGCGGACGGGUGAGUAACACGUGGGCAACCUGCCUCAUAGAGGGGAAUAGCCUUUCGAAAGGAAGAUUAAUACCGCAUAAGAUUGUAGCUUCGCAUGAAGUAGCAAUUAAAGGAGCAAUCCGCUAUGAGAUGGGCCCGCGGCGCAUUAGCUAGUUGGUGAGGUAACGGCUCACCAAGGCGACGAUGCGUAGCCGACCUGAGAGGGUGAUCGGCCACAUUGGGACUGAGACACGGCCCAGACUCCUACGGGAGGCAGCAGUGGGGAAUAUUGCACAAUGGGGGAAACCCUGAUGCAGCAACGCCGCGUGAGUGAUGACGGCCUCGGUCGUAAGCUCUGUCUCAGGAAGAUAAUGACGGUACGUUGAGGAGGAAGCCCCGGCCGUAACUAACGUGCCAGCAGCCGCGGU
rnacentral:rRNA from 1 species